rnacentral:rRNA from 1 species
GUCCACGCCUAACGAUGGGCACUAGGUGUGGGAGGUAUCGACCCUCCCGUGCCGCAGCUAACGCAUUAAGUGCCCCGCCUGGGGAGUACGGUCGCAAGACUAAACUCAAAGGAAUUGACGGGGCCCGCACAAGCGGUGGAGCAUGUGGUUUAAUUCGACGCAACGCGAAGAACCUUACCUGGGCUUGACAUCCCUGGAACCCCUAUGAAAGUAGGGGUGCCUCGAAAGAGGAGCCAGGAGACAGGUGCUGCAUGGCUGUCGU